rnacentral:lncRNA from 1 species
ACCUUGGUAGAUGAAUUCAACUCUGACAAUCAAAGAAGGAGGAGGAAUAUAUCAGGCAGAGGAUGCAGCAUGAGUGAAGUCAUUGAGACUUGUUGUGAAGAAGGAAGAAAAUGGAAGAUGGGGAAGGGUAUGGGUGACACCCAUGGGGACAGACGGAGAGUCAGAAUCAGCGUGUGUGUGCAAUGAUGUACCUUGGCUGGAAACCCCAGUGCCAUGGCUACAAGACACAGGGGCAUCCAAAGAAGAUAUAAGACAAGCAUAGGAGGAGAUGAGAACACAGGCAUGAGAAAGAGAAGCAAUUUGACUAAGAUGGAAAGACAGAGUUUACAGUCCAACAGGGAGACUGGCAUGAAACAAACAUAGAAAUAAAUACACAGCCGCAAAGAAUGCUCAGGGACUUUGGGGGCAUAGAUUCUCCACACUCCGGAGGAUGACGGCAUUAGUGGCACGGCCAUAAGAAGAGGCUUGUUGAAUCACUGAGAGGGUUGAAGAAACAGACGCUAGCCUGAGCUUCCUGGAAUGAUCAUGAAGUCGCACUGCAGAACCAGGCCACCAAGAGCUGCUGCCUCAUCUGCAUCAGAAAGCGCCAUCAACAACACAUUCCCCAUAAUCAUGAAGCCACUCUUCCACCAGCUCCUGAGCCACCACAUGCCUGAUGUGUUCCAGACAGACUGGGUGCCCAAGUCCUGCCUCUCAACACCCACCCAGCCAGCGAAGGGUCCCUUGAGUUUUGCUCACAUUGUUGAAGUAGAACCAGGCUUGUCAGCAAAAGAGGAGAAGUAGUAAGAAGAUUGGCCUCCACCCUACUUUCACUUUCAAAUCUCACAUGAGUCAUGUGGUCAAACCUGAAUUACAUCUGAAAUUUAGGAGGCCUGGGAAACGUAGUUACGUUUUUUAAGGAGGCUUUAUUUUUUAGAGCAGUUUUAGCUUCACAGCAAAAUUGAACAGAAAGUACAGAGAGUUCCCAUAUACUCCCUGGCCCGUUGGUACAAGGCCCAUUAGCCUCCUCCACUAUCAACAUCCCCCACCAGAGUAGUACAUUUGUUGUAAUCAAAGCACUUACACUGACACAUGAUAAUCACCCAAAGUUCAUCGUUUACGUUGUAGUUCACUCUUGGUGUUGUACAUUCCGUGGUUUUUGACAAAUGUGUAAUGACGUAUGUCUACCAUCACAGUAUCAUCCAGAGUAUUUUCACUGUACCUAAAAGUCCUUUGUGCUUCGCCUAUUCAUUCCUCCCUCUCCACUAACCCCUAGCAACCACUGAUCUUUUUUUCUUCCCCCAGAACUCUCUAUUAUUUUCACCCCAGAGAAUCCAGGUGUUGAGAGA